GGUGUCUGCAAACACCCUUUUCACUCUGUGAUGUGUGCAGUUGUGUAAUUUCAGUCCUGCCAGUGGGCUCAAGUUAGGGAGGUGAUAGCUACCCAGAGAAACCAGAGGAGAGGGAGGAUGUUGCAGUAAAAAGCCAAACAGAAAGAGGAGAGAAUGUGGUGUAACUCUCCAUUCCUGUUGGCAUCAUCUGAGAUUGAGUCCUCGGGAACAUAUGGAGUGCACGGAGUGAGAAUGGAUUCCGUGAUGCUCCUCGUGUCUGCUGGCUGGGAAGUAAUUGCAGCAGAAAAAGAAGAAAUCACCAACUUGUACUGGCAUGUUCUUCUGCCUGCUUAGAUUUAUAAAUCUGUUGGCACUGGUUCCACAACAGGUUGUGACCUGAGGCCUCCUGGGUAUAAAUAAGAGCAGCAAGUGUUCCAGGGCUCAGUGGUAAAUAUUAUACUUCAUGGCUCAGUUUUGAGCUUACGUGAUGGAUUGCUGGAGAUAGAGAUGAAA
rnacentral:lncRNA from 1 species